rnacentral:rRNA from 1 species
AUUGAACGCUGGCGGCAUGCUUUACACAUGCAAGUCGAACGGCAGCACAGGGAGCUUGCUCCUGGGUGGCGAGUGGCGCACGGGUGAGUAAUACAUCGGAACGUGUCCUAUCGUGGGGGAUAACUGAGCGAAAGCUCGGCUAAUACCGCAUAAGACCUGAGGGUGAAAGUGGGGGAUCGAAAGACCUCAUGCGAUUGGAGCGGCCGAUGCCCGAUUAGCUAGUUGGUGAGGUAAAGGCUCACCAAGGCGACGAUCGGUAGCUGGUCUGAGAGGACGACCAGCCACACUGGGACUGAGACACGGCCCAGACUCCUACGGGAGGCAGCAGUGGGGAAUUUUUGGACAAUGGGGCAACCCUGAUCCAGCCAUGCCGCGUGCAGGAUGAAGGUCUUCGGAUUGUAAACUGCUUUUGUCAGGGAGAAAAGGUACGUGCUAAUACCACGUACUGCUGACGGUACCUGAAGAAUAAGCACCGGCUAACUAC